GUGGGGAAUAUUGGGCAAUGGGCGAAAGCCUGACCCUGCAACGCCGCGUGAAGGAAGAAGGUUUUCGGAUCGUAAACUUCUAUCCUUGGUGAAGAUAAUGACGGUAGCCAAGAAGGAAGCCCCGGCUAACUACGUGCCAGCAGCCGCGGUAAUACGUAGGGGGCAAGCGUUGUCCGGAAUGAUUGGGCGUAAAGGGCGCGUAGGCGGCCCGGUAAGUCUGAAGUGAAAGUCCUGCUUUUAAGGUGGGAAUUGCUUUGGAUACUGUCGGGCUUGAGUGCAGGAGAGGUAAGCGGAAUUCCCGGUGUAGCGGUGAGAUGCGUAGAGAUCGGGAGGAACACCAGUGGCGAAGGCGGCUUACUGGACUGUAACUGACGCUGAGGCGCGAAAGUGUGGGGAGCAAACAGGAUUAGAUACCCGAGUAGUCC
rnacentral:rRNA from 1 species